AAAGCCUGGUUACGGUGCCGAACUGCGCGCUAACCUAGAACCCACAAAGGGUGUUGGUCGAUUAAGACAGCAGGACGGUGGUCAUGGAAGUCGAAAUCCGCUAAGGAGUGUGUAACAACUCACCUGCCGAAUCAACUAGCCCCGAAAAUGGAUGGCACUGAAGCGCGCGACCCACACCAGGCCAUCUGGGUGAGCGCCAUGCCCCGAUG
rnacentral:ncRNA from 2 species